GACGGGUGAGAAUCCCGUCCACCGAUUGACUAAGGUUUCCAGAGGAAGGCUCGUCCGCUCUGGGUUAGUCGGGUCCUAAGCUGAGGCCGACAGGCGUAGGCGAUGGAUAACAGGUUGAUAUUCCUGUACCACCUAUAAUCGUUUUAAUCGAUGGGGGGACGCAGUAGGAUAGGCGAAGCGUGCGAUUGGAUUGCACGUCUAAGCAGUAAGGCUGAGUAUUAGGCAAAUCCGGUACUCGUUAAGGCUGAGCUGUGAUGGGGAGAAGACAUUGUGUCUUCGAGUCGUUGAUUUCACACUGCCGAGAAAAGCCUCUAGAUAGAAAAUAGGUGCCCGUACCGCAAACCGACACAGGUAGUCAAGAUGAGAAUUCUAAGGUGAGCGAGCGAACUCUCGUUAAGGAACUCGGCAAAAUGACCCCGUAACUUCGGGAGAAGGGGUGCUCUUUAGGGUUAACGCCCAGAAGAGCCGCAGUGAAUAGGCCCAAGCGACUGUUUAUCAAAAACACAGGUCUCUGCUAAACCGUAAGGUGAUGUAUAGGGGCUGACGCCUGCCCGG
rnacentral:rRNA from 1 species